GUGCACCAGGCGCGAAACCUUCGCAAUGCAGGAAACUGCGACGAGGGAACUCCAAGUGCCUACGGCUCAGGCGUAGGCUGUUCUCAAGCCUAGAAAGCUUGAGGAGUAAGGGCUGGGUAAGACGGGUGCCAUCUGUGGUAGCAGUCAAUAGAUUCGAUUUGUUACUGCAAGGCAUAAGCCGCCGCGGUAAUACCCGCAGCCCAAGUGGUGGCCGCUUUUAUUGGGGCCUAAAGCGUCCGUAGCCGGCCCGGUAAAUGGCCUGGGGUAAAUCGUGGAGCCCAACUUCACGAAUUCCGGGUAGACUGCCGA
rnacentral:rRNA from 1 species